AACGAACGCUGGCGGCAGGCUUAACACAUGCAAGUCGAACGCGUGUAGCAAUACACGAGUGGCGCACGGGUGAGUAACGCGUGGAUAUCUGCCUUUUGGUCGGAAUAACCCCGGGAACUGGGGCUAAUACCGGAUGGUUCCUUCGGGAUAAAGAUUUAUCGCCAAAAGAUGAGUCCGCGUACGAUUAGCUAGUUGGUGAGGUAAUGGCUCACCAAGGCGACGAUCGUUAGCUGGUCNGAGAGGACGAUCAGCCACACUGGGACUGAGACACGGCCCAGACUCCUACGGGAGGCAGCAGUGGGGAAUAUUGGACAAUGGGGCAACCCUGAUCCAGCCAUGCCGCGUGAGUGAUGAAGGCC
rnacentral:rRNA from 1 species